rnacentral:rRNA from 1 species
GACGAACGCUGGCGGCGUGCUUAACACAUGCAAGUCGAACGCUGAAGCUCAGCUUUUGUUGGGUGGAUGAGUGGCGAACGGGUGAGUAACACGUGAGUAACCUGCCCCCUUCUUUGGGAUAACGCCCGGAAACGGGUGCUAAUACUGGAUAUUCACUGGUCUUCGCAUGGGGGUUGGUGGAAAGGGUUUUUCUGGUGGGGGAUGGGCUCGCGGCCUAUCAGCUUGUUGGUGGGGUGAUGGCCUACCAAGGCUUUGACGGGUAGCCGGCCUGAGAGGGUGACCGGUCACAUUGGGACUGAGAUACGGCCCAGACUCCUACGGGAGGAAGCAGGGGGGAAUAUUGAACAAUGGGCGCAAGCCUGAUGCAGCGACGCCGCGUGAGGGAUGGAGGCCUUCGGGUUGUGAACCUCUUUCGCUAAUGGUCAAGCCGCAACAAUGGUUGUGGUGAGGGUAGUGGGUAAAGAAGCGCCGGCUAACUACGUG